rnacentral:rRNA from 1 species
AUGGACGCACAGAUGUGGUUGGUAUUUCAAGCAGGAGCACUGAUAGCUAUGAUUCAGGCAUGGGUCAUGUUCAUGCACAAGAGAGUUGUUCGUCGUGCCGAGAGACCUGUCAUCAGAUAUGCUUCAAUGCUUAUGCAGGAGCAGGAGAGGAUCGCCAAUCUAAACUACAUAUACAACUGCAACGAUACAGAGGCUCUAUGGAUGCUUAGAAUGAAAAUAUCACCAUUUGCCAGACUUGUUCAGACCUUCAGGACCAGGAGGCUGCUAGAAGAUAGCAUCCACACCAGUGUGGAAGAGCAAGUCGCCAUGUUCCUUCAUAUUGUUGGCCAUAACCAGAGGUUCAGGGUUACCCACAACACGUUCAGGAAGUCAAUGGAGACCAUCUCAAGGUACUUCAAGCAAGUGUUGUAUGUUGUUGGGGAGCUCAGAGGAGAGAUGAUCAAGUCACCAACUGGGCGGACUCCUACCAAGAUUCACACAAGCCCAAGAUGGUAUUCAUACUUCAAGGUGAGCACUGCAGUAUGUAGUUCAUUGCUUGAUAUGCUUGGAUAG